rnacentral:rRNA from 1 species
UACGUAGGGCGCAAGCGUUGUCCGGAAUUAUUGGGCGUAAAGAGCUCGUAGGCGGUCUGUUACGUCCGCUGUGAAAACCCAGGGCUUAACCCUGGGCUGGCAGUGGAUACGGGUAGACUAGAGGUAGGUAGGGGAGAAUGGAAUUCCCGGUGUAGCGGUGAAAUGCGCAGAUAUCGGGAGGAACACCGGUGGCGAAGGCGGUUCUCUGGGCCUUACCUGACGCUGAGGAGCGAAAGCGUGGGGAGCGAACAGG